rnacentral:rRNA from 1 species
AUUGAACGCUGGCGGCAGGCCUAACACAUGCAAGUCGAGCGGAUGAAGGGAGCUUGCUCCUGGAUUCAGCGGCGGACGGGUGAGUAAUGCCUAGGAAUCUGCCUGGUAGUGGGGGAUAACGUCCGGAAACGGGCGCUAAUACCGCAUACGUCCUGAGGGAGAAAGUGGGGGAUCUUCGGACCUCACGCUAUCAGAUGAGCCUAGGUCGGAUUAGCUAGUUGGUGGGGUAAAGGCCUACCAAGGCGACGAUCCGUAACUGGUCUGAGAGGAUGAUCAGUCACACUGGAACUGAGACACGGUCCAGACUCCUACGGGAGGCAGCAGUGGGGAAUAUUGGACAAUGGGCGAAAGCCUGAUCCAGCCAUGCCGCGUGUGUGAAGAAGGUCUUCGGAUUGUAAAGCACUUUAAGUUGGGAGGAAGGGCAGUAAGUUAAUACCUGCUGUUUUGACGUUACCAACAGAAUAAGCACCGGCUAACUUCGUG